GAUGAAGAACGUAGCGAAAUGCGAUAAGUAAUGUGAAUUGCAGAAUUCAGUGAAUCAUCGAAUCUUUGAACGCACAUUGCGCCCCUUGGUAUUCCGAGGGGCAUGCCUGUUCGAGCGUCAUUAUAACCCCUCAAGCUCAGCUUGGUGUUGGGGCCUGCUGCACUGGCAGCCCUUAAAAUCAGUGGCGGCGCCAUCUGGCUCUAAGCGUAGUAAUUCUUCUCGCUAUGGAGUCCUGGUGGAUGCUUGCCAUCAACCCCCAAUUUUUCUAUGGUUGACCUCGGAUCAGGUGGGGAUACCCGCUGAACUUAAGCAUAUCAAUAAGCGGAGGA
rnacentral:misc_RNA from 1 species